rnacentral:rRNA from 1 species
UACGUAGGGUGCAAGCGUUAAUCGGAAUUACUGGGCGUAAAGCGUGCGCAGGCGGUUUCACAAGCUCGAUGUGAAAGCCCCGGGCUUAACCUGGGAAUGGCAUUGAGGACUGUGGGAGCUCGAGUGCGGCAGAGGGAGGUGGAAUUCCACGUGUAGCAGUGAAAUGCGUAGAGAUGUGGAGGAACACCGAUGGCGAAGGCAGCCUCCUGGGCCGACACUGACGCUCAUGCACGAAAGCGUGGGGAGCAAACAGG